rnacentral:tRNA from 1 species
CAAGCCCCGUGGUGGAGAAACACGUUGGAUUGCAAAUCCAGAGGCGCAGAGUGAUACCCUGCCGGGGCUUU